UACGGAGGGUGCAAGCGUUAUCCGGAAUCACUGGGUUUAAAGGGUGCGUAGGCGGCUUGGUAAGUCAGAGGUGAAAGCCCGCAGCUUAACUGCGGAACUGCCUUUGAUACUGCCGAGCUUGAAAGAGGUUGAGGUCAGCGGAACGUGACAUGUAGCGGUGAAAUGCAUAGAGAUGCCACAGAACACCGAUUGCGAAGGCAGCUGACUGGACCCGAGUUGACGCUGAGGCACGAAAGAGUGGGGAGCGAACAGG
rnacentral:rRNA from 1 species